UGUCAUGCUUCUAUGUUUCCCCCCUCCUCUUUCCAAUUUUGCAUAUAUCUCAGUCUGCUCAACUCAGAGAGAGAGGAAGAGUGUGUAUUUGUGUGUCCUGAGAGAGAGAGAGAGCGAGAGCGAGAGAGAUGGCGAGGGAGGGAGAAAAUGAAAUGUAAGACAGAUACGGAGAGUGAAAGAGAAGAAGGGGGUGUGGAGAGAGCAAGCUAGCGAGUGUAGAGAGCCUGUAACACGGUGCAUUGAUGCAUUAGCUGUGUCUCAGACGUGCUCUUUCGGCAGGACAUAGCCCAGGGUUUUUGGCUGCGGCAGGCUGCCUGUUUUCCAACAUCCAUUCGAGCCAGACCUGGAAUAGGGAUAUACAUGUGAGCGGAGUUGCCGUGUCUGAGCAGCGCUGGACGAGUGAGGCUGCGAGAGAACUGUGAUCGGCUUCAUACUCAUCCUCAUCCUCACACCAGGGUUUCAACAUGGAUCCAUAUGGUUUGACCACUAGUGUACCUGUAUGAUGGAGAAUGGCUGCAUCUACACAGGUCCAUGGUAGUGGCACAGGCUCAGCUGCUUACUUCCUUCAUGAUGACCAUCGAGUGAGCUUGCUAUUUGCAUGGCCAUCUGCACAGACAGGCAGGCAGACUGGCUCCUCGGACCUCAGUACAGCCCUGCCCAGCUCAGGAAUGCACGGAUAGGCCAGCCCUCUCGUCCUCUGUCCCGGACUAUCCGUGGAGCUCACCAAGCAGAACAGUAUUCCUUUCACUGCACCCAGGUCAGUUGGUUCAAAUGAAGACGGCCUGGAAAUCCCCUUGGUUACAGUGGGAAUAUGCUGUUGGGUCGGACCUGUUCUGGCUCAUCUUAUCCGGCCUUACUGAACUCAGUAGCCGCGCUGGCUAAUGGUGUGAGAUUACCUGUGUUACAUUCGUAUUCAUUAACUUUUAGCUAGUAACGGAGUAAAACUUUUGAAUAACUGAUUAAACUAAAAGGGAUGUAGAAAAGAUCUGAAAAAUUACUGGGACACAGAAUUUAGUUUAGGAGCCUGGUGAGCCAUGAAUAUUAAUUAGGUGAUGUACUGUAACAUUCCAGCCGUAUUAGGAUCACUGCUUUCCAAUUGCACUUCUGCUCAGCUGACAAGGUCGUUUUAUGUGUCUGGCUGCAACAAAACAUAAAAUGACAAGCUCUUAAAUUGUAAUUAUUGCUCGAAAAGUGGGUGGGGACAAAUCUUGAAAUGUCUAGAAAUGGAAGAACAUUAAACUGUAGCAGCUGUACUUAAGGUUGCCAAAAUUAUGCAGUUGUUUUGUGAUCUCAUCUGAAACUUUCUGAGUAAUGUUAUUAGUGGAAUGCCUUAUCAUAUCUGUUUAGUGAUUAUCAUUGACUUAAUCAAU